rnacentral:rRNA from 1 species
CAGCAGCCGCGGGAAUACGAAGGGUGCAAGCGUUACUCGGAAUUACUGGGCGUAAAGCGUGCGUAGGUGGUGGUUUAAGUCCGUUGUGAAAGCCCUGGGCUCAACCUGGGAAUUGCAGUGGAUACUGGGUCACUAGAGUGUGGUAGAGGAUAGUGGAAUUUCCGGUGUAGCAGUGAAAUGCGUAGAGAUCGGAAGGAACAUCUGUGGCGAAGGCGGCCAUCUGGGACAACACUGACGCUGAGGCACGAAAGCGUGGGGAGCAAACAGGAUUAGAUACCCGCGUAGUCCCUGUCUCUUAUAC